UACGGGGGGGGCAAGCGUUGUUCGGAAUUACUGGGCGUAAAGGGCCAGUAGGCGGCCAACUAAGUCGGAUGUGAAAUCCCCCGGCUUAACCUGGGAACUGCGUCUGAUACUGGGAGGCUUGAGUAUGGGAGAGGGAUGUAGAAUUCCAGGUGUAGCGGUGAAAUGCGUAGAUAUCUGGAGGAAUACCGGUGGCGAAGGCGGCAUCCUGGACCAUUACUGACGCUGAGGCGCGAAAGCUAGGGGAGCAAACGGG
rnacentral:rRNA from 1 species